GGCAAUUGGAGCAUGGCAACAGUGUCGAGAGAGUCGUGCCAAACUUCAAGGUUAUGCUCGUCUUGAGUAACUGAAGGGGUCACGCCACACCGUUCCUCACUUUUCUUCUUGAAAGCAACAAAGCUGAUAAGAAAUUGUGCCUGUUCCUGUUCCAGUAAAGUUUUCCAGUCGCAUUACAGCCAUACCACAACGUCCAGGGCAGCACCAGUUGUACUCCUUUUUUCCCUGGGUGCCUGUGGGCCAUAUGGUGUUCUGCUCUGAGCAGGAAGGAGGCACCGUGCGGCAGUGCUUUCUGCCCUUCGUUUAUGGGAACGGAGCCUGGAUUCAAGCAGAAGAUGUAGGCAGCUACAUCCGUGUCUGUGAUCAUCCCAAGUGUUGCCAGUGUACUGAGGAAGCUGGAGAUACCUACAAUGGUGUAUCUC